rnacentral:rRNA from 1 species
ACAUCCAGAGAACUUAGCAGAGAUGCUUUGGUGCCUUCGGGAACUCUGAGACAGGUGCUGCAUGGCUGUCGUCAGCUCGUGUUGUGAAAUGUUGGGUUAAGUCCCGCAACGAGCGCAACCCUUAUCCUUGUUUGCCAGCACUUCGGGUGGGAACUCCAGGGAGACUGCCGGUGAUAAACCGGAGGAAGGUGGGGACGACGUCAAGUCAUCAUGGCCCUUACGAGUAGGGCUACACACGUGCUACAAUGGCGUAUACAGAGGGCUGCCAACUCGCGAGAGUGAGCGAAUCCCAUAAAGUACGUCGUAGUCCGGAUUGGAGUCUGCAACUCGACUCCAUGAAGUCGGAAUCGCUAGUAAUCGUGAAUCAGAAUGUCACGGUGAAUACGUUCCCGGGCCUUGUACACACCGCCCGUCACACCAUGGGAGUGGGCUGCACCAGAAGUAGAUAGCCA